AGAACGAACGCUGGCGGCAGGCUUAACACAUGCAAGUCGAGCGCCUCGCAAGAGGAGCGGCAGACGGGUGAGUAACGCGUGGGAACAUACCCUUCGGUUCGGAAUAAUUCAGGGAAACUUGGACUAAUACCGGAUACGGACGAGAGUCGAAAGAUUUAUCGCCGAAGGAUUGGCCCGCGUUCGAUUAGCUAGUUGGUGUGGUAACGGCGCACCAAGGCGACGAUCGAUAGCUGGUCUGAGAGGAUGAUCAGCCACAUUGGGACUGAGACACGGCCCAAACUCCUACGGGAGGCAGCAGUGGGGAAUAUUGGACAAUGGGCGCAAGCCUGAUCCAGCCAUGCCGCGUGAGUGAUGACGGCCUUAGGGUUGUAAAGCUCUUUCGCUAGGGACGAUAAUGACGGUACCUAGACAAGAACGCCCGGACUAACGUUCGUGCCAGCAGCCGC
rnacentral:rRNA from 1 species